rnacentral:tRNA from 1 species
GGACCCGUCAUUUAACGGCAGGAUAUUUCUCUUAUAAAGAAAAUGCGAUGGUUCGACUCCAUCCGGGUCCACCC